CAAGGAAAUUCCAAUCAACGACAAAUAGUAAAGAAAUCACAAUUAGAUAAAUUUUCCUGUUUUUCUGACGGGUUUUCGAGUAUUCACCCAUUCAAUAAAAAAUAUCAAAGGAUCGUCCUCAGUACUCCAACUUCCAUAUUUGAACUGAAAUCACCUUUAACAUUAAUGGUUGAUGCAAUAUUUCCUGAUAUAAAAGUUAUUUAUAGGCCCAAAAAAAACACAUAUUAAUCAUAGUGACCGGACUU